GUGGGUGUAGCUCAAUUGGUGGAGCAUCGGGUUGUGGCCUCGAAGGCUGCGGGUUCAAGCCCCGUCACUCACCCCA
rnacentral:tRNA from 1 species